ensembl:lncRNA
GGAACUCUCCUGUAAGUUAUAGAAAUUUGUCUCCUCGUAAACCCCUCACACCUCUGUUUGGCAAAGAGGUGGGUGAGUUUAGCCACUAGAUAAGUUGAAUGUUCCAAAAAGCUGUUUAUGCGUGCAGGGUUGUGUACAGGAGCAUACAGUUCUCAUACCUUUACAGCUCUGAUUUAAUCUCAUUUUAGGUGUUUUUACCUCCGUAAGAUUUUGAACUUGAGACAGAAGGAACGUGGUCUCGGUAUGAUCACCUAGAAUACAGUCCUUCUUGCAUUAAAACUACCUCAUAUCUGACACAACAGUACAAAGUUCAGGCAGUUUGUUGAAGGCUGAACAGGACUGUUGUGAUUUGAUUUUCCUUUAUCUUAUCAAAAGUCUCCCCAGAAGGCCAGAAAGCAUGCAGAAUGCUUUGAAGGACCACUAAAGAAAAAAAAAAUAACCUGCAAAAUACUCCUACCAGCACUUUGUGUGAGCUUCUGACCAUGUUCACUAAAACAAGAGAUCCUCCUGCUGUCCAUGCUUCUAUUUGUUUGAUUCAGUAAGAUGAUUGCUGAAUAGGAAGUAAACUAACUGCAAAAAUGGGGAAGUCAAUACGACUUAAAAUACCAUAACAACGAGACUUUGCUGUGGUCACCCUUCAGUGCUGAGUACCCAGAGGAAGACUGUUUUCUGCUGAAAGCACUCAGACUGGCCCAAAAUGGGGACCUAAGUGGUUAUCAGUUACAAAGUUGCACUUGUCCUUGUGGGGUCAGCACUGUGGAGUUCGUGGGCAAUUUUGGAAGCAUUAAUGUUGUGUAAGCAGUGAAGAUGGAAAGCAGACACGGCAGCUGGCAAAGAGGGAUCCUCCUGCCAAUCCUUGCACUGGUGUCCCUGCCAUGGUACAUACCCAUUGCAUGGGCCUGCUCAUUUCCAAUGAAGACUCUUGAAACUUCUUGAUAUCCAGGAUCAAUUCAUGCUGAAUCAGUGGGUGAAUCAGCUCCGGAAUGACUGACACACUGACAGAAAUGAUGUGACAGAGGCAGAGAGCUGUAGGGCAGGAUGGUUCAACCUGAGCAGCAGCUUUACAACAGCACUGUAUGCAGGUGAUAAGAGGGAAUUUCUUUCAGUAACCACUUGUGUUCCAGCUGGCAUCUGCCAGCCCAGAGGGAAGCACAGGCACCUGACCACACAACCUCUCCUUCAGCAUAAAGAUCUGUCAGUCUUUAUUGUUGUUAUAUUGGGACCAGACAUUUCUCUCAUUAACCUCAUUAUCACACCUUUGUUCAACCUGCUGUCCUGGAGAGCUUGUAGUUUUCCCUGAAGAUUUCCCUACAGAAGGCCAUUCUAAUUGCAGUUUUGCUGCAAACAGUGCAAUUCAUGUGUCUGCAUAUAUUUCCUCAUAUUGACUGUAUGUUAGAAAACCUUUCCCUGCAAUGUGAUGAGGUCUGCAUGUAGAAGGUGAGAGUGUGUACAGGGAGACGUGUAGAUGUGUGUACUCUCCUCCCUGGUUUCUGUGAAUGCAGUUCUCCAUCCUGCACUGUGUUAAUUACAUUGUGCUUUUGAUUAAAUUAAGGAGCCCUAUAAGGGGGGUCAAAUUCAAUCUGAUAAAUGUGUUGAGCGGAAAGGGAACAAUCAGCUUUAUGAAAGCUCAGGAAAUGGAGUGGAAAGUAGGAGGAAAAUGGAGGAUAAUAUGGAAGGAUGAGAACAAGAAGUGGAAUUUGAAGGAGUGAAGAAUGGCAGCAGAGAGGGACAGGAGGAAGGAGAAGGUGCAGAGAUGUAGACAGAAGGUAUGUAAAAAGAAAGUAGAGAAGUAGCUGUGAUGAAGCAUUGCGGGUGCUGGGAUACGGGAUGCUGCUAACAGCCAGACAGAUUCUUGGGCAGGUCCUUUUCCCCAUGCACCAACUACAAUUGAUACAACCAAGGUUUAAAGCAAAGUUUUAUGGUUAUUUCAUAAACUUAGGAAUGUACGGUGAGGAUUUAUAAUGGAAAAAUGGAUUCAAUUUAAGGAAUAUCUAGGGCAAGUGCUGUGAUGGGGUGUAGUCCAAAGCAUGUGCUGUUUGUGCUGAGCUGCAGGUAGGGCUUGUUAAUGCGGAGCACUUGCACUGUGCUAGGGAAAGGAAAGGUGGCCGGUGUGUUUGUGAUCCUCUUCUGCUGUCCGCCUCUGAG